UAAAAAAAAUUGUAGGUGCCGAUUUUUUUUAUUUUGGAAAUACGAUUUUUCGAGAAUUAAAAAAAAUUGGCUCCUACAAUUUUUGUAAAAAACU